rnacentral:rRNA from 1 species
AUGGUGUUGCUGGCUCCGGCGACAGUAAGCGCCGAGCAGGAGGAUGGGGCCACAACCAUCGCCACCUUGCAGGUCUUGGAGGAGGUCGGCUCGCGUGCCGAUGACCAUGGCAACGACGAUUGCGACAUCAAGUGCGCCUAUUACCAAGAUCUGGCCAGGAGACAGUUCUGUGUGGACCAGUGCCACAGCCAGUAG